AGUGAACGUUGGCGGCGUGGAUUAGGCAUGCAAGUCGAGCGAGAACCGUAGCAAUACGGGGACAGCGGCGAAAGGGACAGUAAUGUGUAGGUACCUACCCCGAGGUCUGGGAUAGCUGCGGGAAACUGCAGGUAAUACCGGAUAAUGUCUUCGGACCAAAGGUGUGAUUCCACCUUGGGAGGGGCCUGCAUCCUAUUAGCUUGUUGGCGGGGUAACGGCCCACCAAGGCGACGAUGGGUAGCGGGUGUGAGAGCACGACCCGCGUCAUUGGGACUGAGACACUGCCCAGACACCUACGCGUGGCUGCAGUCGAGGAUCUUCGGCAAUGGGCGCAAACCUGACCGAGCGACGCCGCGUGCGGGAUGAAGGCCUUCGGGUUGUAAACCGCUGUCGUAGAGGAGGAAAUGCAGGGGGGUUCUCCCUUCUGUUUGACCUAUUCUAGGAGGAAGGACGGGCUAAGUUCGUGCCAGCCGCCGCAGUAA
rnacentral:rRNA from 1 species